CCUGGGCCUGCCGCUUGAGAUGAGAGUCUCAAUACAUGGGACGUGCACCCUAACCAUUGCGCCACCAGCGCGCCCUGACUUGUGACAUUUUGAUGUAAAUCUGACUUUCUAUCUCAAUGACUUUUCUUCUCACACUAUUUUGACUUUGGCCUUUCUCAUUUGGCCAACAUGACUUUUUAUUUUGGAAGUUGAACUUUCUUUAGGUCGACCAUGUUUUGUUUUCCCAUUGUCUAUUUCUUAUUGUGUCCUAGUUUCAAUCUACUGUUUACAUGCACUUUCCUAACAUCAUGUUCCAAACAUAAAGCUGGAUCCUCUCCUUAAACCGUAUUUACACAUGUAUCCUUUAUUUGCCAUGUAAACAUGUAAUUGAUCAUUUUCUUCAUUUUGCACAUUUUAAUGCAAUUGGUCUGUAAUGUCCUGGACUUCUACAAUCUUUUUCUUGUAAAUCAGAGCUAUGACAGGGGAUAUUUGUUACAGAAGUUUAUUUGUUUUGAACACAAACAAAUAUCUUUUUGUGUGUUGGGAAGAAACUAGGAUUAAUACACAAGUAAUCAUUUGUUUGACUUUGUUGUUAAAGAGUUCCUGAAGAUUGAAUAGACCUUUUUUGCAGCAACAGCAGCAGCAAAUAUUCUCAACGUGCCAUUAAAAACACUUUGUUUCCCUGCAUUGGAUCCAAAGAUAGAUUUAAGGAUGUUAUAAAUGACCUGUGUCUUUAAGUGUGUUAUAUGCUUUAUGAAAAGUUCUCAGGUCUCAGUUUGAUUGGAAACAGUUUGUGAAACAUUAUCCUGGAGAAAUGUCAACUUUCAUCAAGUCAAAGAUCAUUUGUAUAACACCCUGGUUCAGGUCAAGGCGGGGUCGUAAUCAGGGGAUGAGCUGCACCUUGGCCCGGUGUUGUCCUCAUCUAUAUAAUCCUCUUCUCAGGACAGACACUCUCUCUCUCACCUUGUUCUCACAUUUGAUCAUUGUAAAUAAAUGUGGUGUUAUUUUGGUA